UAGGGAAUAUUGGUCAAUGGUCGAGAGACUGAACCAGCCAUGCCGCGUGCAGGAAGACGGCCCUCUGGGUUGUAAACUGCUUUUGACAGGGGCCAAAAUAUCCAUGCGUGGAGACUUGAGAGUACCUGUAGAAUAAGCACCGGCUAACUCCGUGCCAGCAGCCGCGGUAAUACGGAGGGUGCAAGCGUUGUCCGGAUUUAUUGGGUUUAAAGGGAGCGUAGGUGGCUUUUUAAGUCAGUGGUGAAAUCCUCCAGCUUAACUGGAGACGUGCCAUUGAUACUGAUUAGCUUGAGUACUGAUGAGGUAGGCGGAAUUGAAGGUGUAGCGGUGAAAUGCAUAGAUAUCUUCAAGAACACCGAUUGCGAAGGCAGCUUACUAAGGAGUAACUGACACUGAGGCUCGAAAGCGUGGGGAUCGAACAGGAUUAGAUACCCCGGUAGUCC
rnacentral:rRNA from 1 species